rnacentral:rRNA from 1 species
GAUGAACGCUGGCGGCGUGCCUAAUACAUGCAAGUCGAGCGAACGGACGAGAAGCUUGCUUUUCUGAUGUUAUCGGCGGACGGGUGAGUAACACGUGGAUAACCUACCUAUAAGACUGGGAUAACUUCGGGAAACCGGAGCUAAUACCGGAUAAUAUUUUGAACCGCAUGGUUCCAAAGUGAAAGACGGUCUUUCUGUCACUUAUAGAUGGAUCCGCGCUGCAUUCGUUAGUUGGUAAGGUAACGGCUUACCAAGGCAACGAUGCAUAGCCGACCUGAGAGGGUGAUCGGCCACACGGGAACUGAGACACGGUCCAGACUCCUACGGGAGGCAGCAGUAGGGAAUCUUCCGCAAUGGGCGAAAGCCUGACGGAGCAACGCCGCGUGAGUGAUGAAGGUCUUCGGAUCGUAAAACUCUGUUAUUAGGGAAGAACAUAUGUGUAAGUAACUGUGCACAUCUUGACGGUACCUAAUCAGAAAGCCACGGCUAACUACGUG